rnacentral:rRNA from 1 species
GCUUGCUCCACCGGAAAAAGAAGAGUGGCGAACGGGUGAGUAACACGUGGGUAACCUGCCCAUCAGAAGGGGAUAACACUUGGAAACAGGUGCUAAUACCGUAUAACAAUCGAAACCGCAUGGUUUUGAUUUGAAAGGCGCUUUCGGGUGUCGCUGAUGGAUGGACCCGCGGUGCAUUAGCUAGUUGGUGAGGUAACGGCUCACCAAGGCCACGAUGCAUAGCCGACCUGAGAGGGUGAUCGGCCACAUUGGGACUGAGACACGGCCCAAACUCCUACGGGAGGCAGCAGUAGGGAAUCUUCGGCAAUGGACGAAAGUCUGACCGAGCAACGCCGCGUGAGUGAAGAAGGUUUUCGGAUCGUAAAACUCUGUUGUUAGAGAAGAACAAGGAUGAGAGUAACUGUUCAUCCCUUGACGGUAUCUAACCAGAAAGCCACGGCUAACUACGUGCCAGCAGCCGCGGUAAUACGUAGGUGGCAAGCGUUGUCCGGAUUUAUUGGGCGUAAAGCGAGCGCAGGCGGUUUCUUAAGUCUGAUGUGAAAGCCCCCGGCUCAACCGGGGAGGGUCAUUGGAAACUGGGAGACUUGAGUGCAGAAGAGGAGAGUGGAAUUCCAUGUGUAGCGGUGAAAUGCGUAGAUAUAUGGAGGAACACCAGUGGCGAAGGCGGCUCUCUGGUCUGUAACUGACGCUGAGGCUCGAAAGCGUGGGGAGCAAACAGGAUUAGAUACCCUGGUAGUCCACGCCGUAAACGAUGAGUGCUAAGUGUUGGAGGGUUUCCGCCCUUCAGUGCUGCAGCUAACGCAUUAAGCACUCCGCCUGGGGAGUACGACCGCAAGGUUGAAACUCAAAGGAAUUGACGGGGGCCCGCACAAGCGGUGGAGCAUGUGGUUUAAUUCGAAGCAACGCGAAGAACCUUACCAGGUCUUGACAUCCUUUGACCACUCUAGAGAUAGAGCUUCCCCUUCGGGGGCAAAGUGACAGGUGGUGCAUGGUUGUCGUCAGCUCGUGUCGUGAGAUGUUGGGUUAAGUCCCGCAACGAGCGCAACCCUUAUUGUUAGUUGCCAUCAUUUAGUUGGGCACUCUAGCAAGACUGCCGGUGACAAACCGGAGGAAGGUGGGGAUGACGUCAAAUCAUCAUGCCCCUUAUGACCUGGGCUACACACGUGCUACAAUGGGAAGUACAACGAGUCGCGAAGUCGCGAGGCUAAGCUAAUCUCUUAAAGCUUCUCUCAGUUCGGAUUGUAGGCUGCAACUCGCCUACAUGAAGCCGGAAUCGCUAGUAAUCGCGGAUCAGCACGCCGCGGUGAAUACGUUCCCGGGCCUUGUACACACCGCCCGU